AACGAACGCUGGCGGCAGGCUUAACACAUGCAAGUCGAACGCAUCCUUCGGGGUGAGUGGCAGACGGGUGAGUAACGCGUGGGAACGUGCCCUUCAGUUCGGGAUAACCCAGGGAAACUUGGGCUAAUACCGGAUACGUGCGAGAGCAGAAAGAUUUAUCGCUGAAGGAUCGGCCCGCGUCUGAUUAGCUAGUUGGUGGGGUAAUGGCCCACCAAGGCGACGAUCAGUAGCUGGUCUGAGAGGAUGAUCAGCAACAUUGGGACUGAGACACGGCCCAAACUCCGAGGGGAGGCAGCAGUGGGGAAUAUUGGAAAAUGGGCGCAAGCCUGAUUCAGCCAUGCCGCGUGAGUGAUGAAGGCCUUAGGGUUGUAAAGCUCUUUCGUCCGGGACGAUAAUGACGGUACCGGAAGAAGAAGCCCCGGCUAACUUCGUGCCAGCAGCCGCCGUAA
rnacentral:rRNA from 1 species